AGUGGAAAACGAUGUGAAGUUACUCAAACAACCAGGAGGUUGGCUUAGAAGCAGCCAUCCUUUAAAGAAAGCGUAAUAGCUCACUGGUCUAGUGAUUUUGCGCGGAAAAUAUAACGGGGCUAAAGUAAGUACCGAAGCGGUAGGCUUGUGCUUAAUCAAAUUCUUUAAGACAAGGGCAAAAACCCUAACGAAUUUAAGAAAGUUAAGAAGUUAAGAGGUUAAAUAUAAAUUUUUGUUUUAAAUUUUAAGUUUAAAUUUAAAAAACUUAACUUUGAAAUUUGAAUUUGAAAGAAAUUGAAAGAAAAAGAAUUUAAAGACUUAAAUUUAAAACUUAAAUUUAAAAAAAUAAUUUAAAUUUAAAAAACAAAAUUCAAAAUUUAACUUUCAAAAAAAGAAAAAAUUCAAAAAUUCCCACUAAAGAAUUUGCUUAAGCACAAGCGGUAGGAGAGCGUUCUAUUUGCGCCGAAGGUAUACCGGUAAGGAGUGCUGGAGCGGAUAGAAGUGAGCAUGCAGGCAUGAGUAGCGAUAAUUAAUGUGAGAAUCAUUAACGCCGUAAACCCAAGGUUUCCUACGCGAUGCUCG
rnacentral:rRNA from 1 species